AAAUAAAUAAAAAUUUAAAAAAAAAAACUGGAAUGAUACAGAGAAGAUUAGCAUGGCCCCUGUGCAACCAUGACACACAAAUAUCUGAAAUGUUCCAUAUUUUU